GACGAACGCUGGCGGCGUGCUUAACACAUGCAAGUCGAACGGAAAGGCCUGCUUUCCCUUGUGGAUUGCGGGUACUCGAGUGGCGAACGGGUGAGUAACACGUGAGUGAUCUGCCCCCAACUUGGGUAUAAGCCUGGGAAACUGGGUCUAAUUCCCGAUAGGACUGCAGGGUGGUGCCUGUGGUGGAAAACGAUUUUCUAGUGGUUGGGGAUGAGCUCGCGGCCUAUCAGCUUGUUGGUGGGGUAAUGGCCUACCAAGGCGGCGACGGGUAGCCGGCCUGAGAUGGUGGACGGCCACAUUGGGACUGAGAUACGGCCCAGACUCCUACGGGAGGCAGCAGUGGGGAGUAUGGCACAAUGGGCGGAAGCCUGAGGCAGCGACGCCGCGUGGGGGAUGACGGCCUUCGGGUUGUAAACUCCUUUCGACCGCGAGGAAGCCACCUGGUUGGAAGGGUGGUGACGGUAGUGGUAGAAGAAGCACCGGCUAACUACGUG
rnacentral:rRNA from 1 species